GGAGGGACUGUGGCUCGGUGGUACAGCAUCUGCUUGAGAUGCAGAAGGUCCCAGGUUCAAUCCCUGGCAUCUCCA